rnacentral:rRNA from 2 species
CAUGACUGGGGUGAAGUCGUAACAAGGUAGCCGUAGGGGAACCUGCGGCUGGAUCACCUCCUUAAU